GAUGAACGCUGACAGAAUGCUUAACACAUGCAAGUCUUUGGCGAAGCUGUGCUUGCACAGCCUAGCCAAGGCGGACGGGUGAGUAACGCGUACGGAACUUGCCCUGCAGUCAGGGAUAACAGACGGAAACGACUGAUAAGACCUGGUAAAGUCAGGCGGACUCAUGUCCAGCCUGAUGAACAGGGCUGCUGCAGGAGAGCCUUGCGUCCUAUUAGCUUGUUGGUGGGGUAACGAUCCACCAAGGCGAUGAUAGGUAGCCGGCCUGAGAGGGUGGACGGCCACAAGGGGACUGAGAGACGGCCCUUACUCCUACGGGAGGCAGCAGUGGGGAAUAUUGGACAAUGGGGGCAACCCUGAUCCAGCAAUUCUGUGUGCACGAUGAAGGUUUUCGGAUUGUAAAGUGCUUUCAGCAGGGAAGAAAAAAAUGACGGUACCGGCAGAAGAAGCGACGGCUAAAUACGUG
rnacentral:rRNA from 1 species